rnacentral:rRNA from 1 species
GGGCUUGACAUCCCACGAACCUGCCCGAAAGGGUCGGGUGCCCGCAAGGGAGCGUGGAGACAGGUGGUGCAUGGCUGGCGUCAGCUCGUGUCGUGAGAUGUUGGGUUAAGUCCCGCAACGAGCGCAACCCUCACCCCUUGUUGCCACCGGGUCAUGCCGAGCACUCUAGGGGAACUGCCAGCGUCAAGCUGGAGGAAGGCGGGGAUGACGUCAAGUCAUCAUGCCCCUUACGCCCUGGGCAACACACGUGCUACAAUGGCCGGUACAAAGGGAUGCAAGACCGCGAGGUGGAGCUAAUCCCAAAAAACCAGUCUAAGUUCAGAUUGCAGUCUGCAACUCGACUGCAUGAAGGAGGAAUCGCUAGUAAUCGCGCAUCAGCACGGCGCAGUGAAUACGUUCCCGGGCCUUGUACACACCGCCCGUCACACCACGAAAGCCAGCUGUACUCGAAGUCGCUGAG